GGACUGGGGAGGGCUUUCAUUUCUAUUAGAGCGGCGAGACUGGGAGGCGAAGACGGUCCAGGAUUUCACUGCAGAGGAUUAAGUAUUUCAACAGGUCCACAACACUUGAGCAGGAGCCACUGAUAAUCUGUACCACCGGAGAACAACCUCGGAGAAAACGGCUUGAGGCUUUUCGUGACUGACGCCGGUCGAGCUGAGCAAGACAGACGCGACAGACGAGCCGAGCGUACCUGGGUCCAGUUUGCUCUCAUCCUCCGAAACCAUGUUGCCACCUACCCUGAAAAUGUACUUCAUCGGAACAGCGCUGACCGUCCUCGCAGUCCUUUUUGGGAUGGUGGACUCCUUUGGUGGUCUGAUGUAUGUCCAAGACGAGCGCUACAUGACGGAGCUGGGCCACACACAGAGGCUCUUGCCAACCAACCGUCAGGAGAGGAGAGCUGCUGUGACUAAACACAUCGGCUCAUGAAGAGAGCCGUCUUGUCAAGCACACUGUUAAUACAUUUUUUGGAUGGACAUUUUGGCCGGGCACUAAUGUGAAAACACAUCAAAAGACACUGAUGAUGGCUGCAGGUUCUGUGACUGUGCUGUGCUGUCCUGCUGAUGAACAUGUAGGCCACUGUGAUGACCAACUUGUUGAACUUGUUUUGCACACUCCAGAUAGUUUGGUUACUUCACCUUUAUGCAGUCUCUAGGCUGUCCUUACUGUAGCAACUGGGUUGCACACGUUGUGAACAACAAAUUGUAAACAUCAUUUGACCACUUGACCACUUUUUUUUGCACUAAAAAGGAGACUGCUUCAGGUCUUUUGAUUGAUACAUGGCAUUUAUUAUGUAUAUUUAGUUUAAUAAAAUAUUUUAAAAAUGA